UGGUGGAUUGAUUUGUCUGGUUUAUUCCGUUAACGAACGAGACCUUAACCUAUUAAAUAGGGAAUAGAUUUUCUUCUUAAUUAAAAGAGAAAUCGAAAGUUUUAUUCUUCUUAAAGGGACAUUUCAUGUUUAAUGAAUGGAAGAUUGAGGCAACAACA
rnacentral:rRNA from 1 species